rnacentral:rRNA from 1 species
AAAUAAAAAAUUUAUUUUAAAUUAAUAUUUAAUUAAUUUUAAUAAAAAUAAUUUUAAUAAAUUUUUAUUUUUAGUAUUUUUUAAAGAAAAAAAUAUUUAUAUUAUAGUUUAUUUGUAUUGUAAAAGAAUAUUGAAAUAUAAGGAUAUAUAUUAUAAUAAAGUAAAAUUAAAUUUUUGUACCUUGUGUAUCAGGGUUUAUUAAAAAUAUAUUAUUUAUUUUAAUUAUCUCGAUUUUAAGAGGGCAAGUAAAAUAUUUUUUUUAUUGUUGAAUUAAUAUUUAAAAUAUUUUAUUAGAAAUGAAAUGUUAUUCGUUCUUAAAUAUAUCUAGUUUAUUUAGAAAUAAAUUUAAUUUAGUUAUUUAUUUUUAAUAUAUUAAUUAUUUAAUAUAUUAAUAGUUUAAAUAAUAAAAAUUUAAGGGAUUAGCUUUAUAUUUUUUUUAAUAAUUUUUAUAAAUAUAGAUAAAAAUUUGUAAGUUUAGAAAUAUCUAUCAAAAUUAAUUUGUUAUUAUUAAUUUUUUGUUAAAUAAUAUUUUAUAAAAAUUUUAAUUAUUUAUAAAUAUAUAUUAAUUAAUUUUUAAUUAAUAUUUAUAAUGAUAAAAUUAGUAUAAUUUAAUAAAUUUAAAUAAGAUUUAUUUUUAAUUUAUUUAAAGUAAUUCGGCAAAUAUUUUACUCGCCUGUUUAACAAAAACAUGUCUUUUUGAAUUAAAUUUAAAGUCUAACCUGCCCACUGAAAGUUUUAAAUGGCCGCAGUAAUUUGACUGUGCAAAGGUAGCAUAAUCAUUAGUUUUUUAAUUAAAAGCUAGUAUGAAAGGUUGGACGAGGUAAAAUCUGUCUCUAUUUAAUUUAUAGUAAAAUUUAAUUUUUAAGUUAAAAAGCUUAAAUUUUUAUAUAAGACGAGAAGACCCUAUAGAGUUUAAUAUAAUUAUUUAAUUAAUUAAUUAAGAUUUUUUAGAAUAGAUAAAGUAUUUUAUAUUUUAUUGGGGUAAUAGAAAGGUUAAUAUAAUCCUUUUUUAUUUUUUAUAUUAAUUUAUAUUUUUUUUGAUCCAGUUUUAUUGAUUAUAAGAUUAAAUUACCUUAGGGAUAACAGCGUAAUUUUUUUAGAGAGUUCAUAUCGAUAAAAAAGUUUGCGACCUCGAUGUUGGAUUAAAGAUUAAUUUAGGUGUAGAAGUUUAAAUUUUUGGUCUGUUCGACCAUUAAAUCUUUACAUGAUCUGAGUUCAAACCGGUGUAAGCCAGGUUGGUUUCUAUCUUUAUAUAAUUAUAGUAUUUUAGUACGAAAGGACCAAAUAUUAUGUAUAUUUAUAUAUUUUUUAAUUUGAAUAUUAAUAAUUU